rnacentral:lncRNA from 10 species
CACCACUGCACUCCAGCCUUGAGACGGUAUCUAAAAAAGAUUCUCUACACGGUUGCUUGUGACAUACCAGUACUCCCUGGCCACGCUUCCAUUUCUCCAUUAGUUUCCAAAAUAUGUGCUACCCCAGUCCAGUCCCCUUAUGUGCACUUUUAAAUGGCAUAGUUUCUACUAGAAAUACAAGUGAAACUAUCACUGGCCGUA